AGAGACAUGGCUCAGUGGUAGAGCACAGGAUUUGCAUGCCUGAGGCCCAGGGUUCAAUCCCUGAUUCUA
rnacentral:tRNA from 1 species